GCCAAUGACCCGGAGGUGUUUGUUCAGGC
rnacentral:piRNA from 1 species